UGGAAAUGGUAGAUUUCAUUUCUAAACAUUUUUCAAACACUUAUAAUGUGUCAGGCACGCUGUUCAGCCCUUGACUGACAUUUUCUUGUUUAAGUGUAGCAACAACAUUAAGGGGUCAGUAUUAGCUCGUGUUUCAUUGUAACAUGAGGAGGCUGUGGCUCAGAGAGGUUUGGUAACUACCCCAAAGCCACACAGCUAGUAGGUGGAAGAGCCAAAAGGCAAACCCAGCUCUACUUACAUCCAAGUUUGUGUGUUUCUUGGGAGCUCUUUUUUGUCUUUUUUUCACUUCUCCAGAUUAUACUCUUCCUUGCAGCAGAGACUUAGCAGAGGGAAUGAAGUGAGGCCAGGAGGCAGGGUGUUCCAUCCUGCCCAUAGCUGCUGCCUGGCAAGGACUAUAUUUCUUGUCCCACUCACAUGGCCCUGGUCACGGUGCCAAGGCCAGGAAGGGGUGGCCAAUAUCUCCUCUUUAGCCUUCUUGGUCCUUCUGCUUUAUGUCUGCAAUUUUGAUAUUUUUGAUCUGUAUUCCCUAAAAGGCAGGAAAAUAACAAUGGAAUUUUACUUGUACUGUCCUAUACACUCUGCAUGUCAAACGGCUCAAGUGAGAUUUAAGUUCAACAGUGAAUAACAGAAAACUCUCUCAAAAUGGAUUUUUUUUAAAGGUUAGUUGAUUCAUCUCUUAAAAGAAAUCCACAGGCCAGCAGUGUAAGGGCUGUCUGAUGGCUCCAUGAAGCUUCAGAGAGGCCCUGCCUCCUUUCUUCUUAGUCUUCUACCAUCUUUACUGUGCUGCCUCCUGGACCAAGAUGGUUGCUUGAGCUCCAGCUAUCACUUCUACUCUCCAACCAGAAGGGAAAGGAAGCAGGUUACAGAAGACUUCUCAUUUCCCCAGGUGCUUUCCGCUGAUGAUUCUGGCAUUUCAUCUCCAGCCAGAAGAAUAACGAACCAGAGAAAUCAGUCUUAGUCCUUACAGUAGUACAGCGGUCUCUGCAGAAGGCUGGCUUUCUUAUAGCCAGAUACAUUUUUGUUUCUGAGUGAUUUUCUCUCUCCCACCCUCCAUCCCUCUUUUUGUCCAUUCUGUCUUUCCUCUUCUUCUCUUUACUUCCCCUCCCUCCUUCCCUCCCUCCCUCCCUUCCUUCCUUCUUUUUCCUGCCUUCCUUCUUUUUCCUCCCUCUUCUUCCUCCCUCCUCCCAUUCCUUUCACCCUCUGUUUCUCUUGUCUUUCUUGCUUUCUUGCAGGGUGUGUGUGUGUGUGUGUGUGUGUGUGUGUGUGUGUGUGUGUGUUUCUAUACUUGCUCUUAGCCAAACGGCUGAGAAUCCAUGUCUGUGAGUAUUUCUAUAACAGAGAAGACAGUGCCUGCACCCAGCCAGGAAUGGGAUUCAGGGUUCCAAAUGACAUCCAGCAAAAAAGUCUUCAUCUGAACUAGAAGAAGAGAACGCAUUCAGAAAAGGCUUCUUGGAAGAUACGGUAUGGGGAUGCCCAAACAAAUAGGCGUGGAGACAAGAACUUUCCAAAACAGAAUGACUUGUUCUCAGGCUCUUCCAUCAGACUGCCGGUCUUUUUGCCUUUGUCUAGGAGCCACCACCCUUCUGCAAGGAGAUGAACAGCUACUUUGAAGCUAACAAAGCAGCCUGAAGAAGCUCUGAACUCUGGUUCUCUUGAACCUGCCUCCCUGGUUAGUUGCAUGACUCAGGGUUUGUUUGCCAGAGAAAUGAAUGAUUUUGGAUCUUCUGCAGGUGUUUUUCUCUUUAGAGAAGUUUUAGGUUUUUGUGCAGAGGAAACGCUCUAGAAUAAACUGAGUUCCUUCACAUCCCUAUGCA
rnacentral:lncRNA from 13 species